rnacentral:rRNA from 1 species
GACGAACGCUGGCGGCGUGCUUAACACAUGCAAGUAGAACGAAGUGGCGAACGGGUGAGUAACGCGUAGGUAACUGCCCCAUAGCGGGGGAUAAAACUUGGAAACGAUAGCUAAUACCGCAUACUGUGAGAUGCACCUGCGUUGUAUUAGUUAGUUGGGGUGGUAAAGGCUAACCAGGGCGACGAUACAUAGCCGGCCUGGGUGGAUGAACGGCCACACUGGGACUGAGACACGGGCCAGACUCCUACGGGAGGCAGCAGUGGGAAAUCUUCGGGAAUGGACGGAAGUCUGACCGAGCACAGCCGCGUGAGUGAGGAGGGUUUUCGGGUCGUAAAGCUCUGUUAUUAGUGAAGCGGUAGCUGACCAGAAAGCGACGGCUAACUACGUGCCAGCAGCCGCGGUAAUUC